GGCUCGGGAGCAGGCCGGUGGGACGGUCUGCAGGCAUGGAGCCCGCCCCAAUCUUCGCAAGCGGCGCCCGGCCGUGGCCCCCGACGGCCCGAGCG
rnacentral:ncRNA from 1 species